rnacentral:rRNA from 1 species
GAUGAACGCUGGCGGCGUGCCUAAUACAUGCAAGUCGAGCGAACGGACGAGUAGCUUGCUUUUCUGAUGUUAGCGGCGGACGGGUGAGUAACACGUGGAUAACCUACCUAUCAGACUGGGAUAACUUCGGGAAACCGGAGCUAAUACCGGAUAACAUUUUGAACCGCAUGGUUCAAAAGUGAAAGACGGUCUUGCUGUCACUUAUAGAUGGAUCCGCGCUGCAUUAGCUAGUUGGUAAGGUAACGGCUUACCAAGGCAACGAUGCAUAGCCGACCUGAGAGGGUGAUCGGGCACUCUGGAACUGAGACGCGGUCCAGACUCUGCGGGAGGCAGCAGUAGGGAAUCUGCCGCAAUGGGCGAAAGCCUGACGGAGCAACGCCGCGUGAGUGAUGAAGGUCUUCGGAGCGUAAAACUCGGUUAUUAGUGAAGAACAUAUGUGUAAGUAACUGUGCACAUCUUGACGGUACCUAAUCAGAAAGCCACGGCUAACUACGUG